rnacentral:rRNA from 1 species
UACGGGGGGAGCAAGCGUUGUUCGGAUUUACUGGGCGUAAAGGGCGCGUAGGCGGCCAGCACAAGUCAGUUGUGAAAUCUCCGGGCUUAACUCGGAAAGGUCAACUGAUACUGUGCGGCUAGAGUGCAGAAGGGGCAACUGGAAUUCUCGGUGUAGCGGUGAAAUGCGUAGAUAUCGAGAGGAACACCAGUGGCGAAGGCGAGUCCCUGGACAACUCCUGACACUGAGGCACGAAAGCUAGGGGAGCAAACAGG